AUCCAUUCGUCUGCCGAUGGACAGCUAGGUUGCUUCCAUGCCCUGGCUAUUAUAAACAGAGCUGCGAUGAACCUUGGGGUACACGUGUCUCUUUCAAUUCUGGUUUCCUCGGUUCCAAACACUAGAUUUUCAGAUGAAGAUGCAGUGACCGCUGCCCCCAUUGCAUUUUGUCUUCCCCUGGUACUUCGUUUUGCUCGCCCACCCCAGGGACCCUGGUUGGAAUUACGAGGCACGUACAAGUGGCUCCGCUGCUGUGUUAUCGCCUACCGCAGAAGCUGAAUCCUGCUCAGCACGCAGCCUCUGCUUUCCAAACAGGAAGAGCACCACAUGGGAGUCAGCUUCUCAAAUGCACUCCUGGCUUGCUCUGGCCUCUAGUGUACUGGCUCUAGAGCUCUGCACCCCUCUGUGUGCAGCUCCCGGACUGGAAUGGCCCAAUUUGGGGUUUAGUUUAAAAUGUAACAGAGUAGUUAAGAGCACGUGUAAGCCCGAGGACAGCAUGGACUUCAAACACAGUUCCACCACUUAGAGCUGUGAACUUCGCAAGGUCUUUGAGUGACUAUUAUUAGAGAUUAUUAUUGUUAAUAUUAUUUCAUAUUUAAAAACUUAUUUAAGUUAUAUUUUAGUGCUACUUCUGAUAUGUGAAUGUUUAAAUUGGGGGAUAAUUGUUUUUAUCCCCUCCCUCUUGAGCCUCCCUUGCCAUCCAUGCCACCCUCUCCUUCACCUGCUGUGCCCACAAGUCCAUUUUCUACAUCUGUCUGCUUAGUGCUACUUCUGUUUUCUAAAAGAUUCUAAAGUACAUGCCGGAAUGUUAAUUUUGUGUGUCUCAAUUUUAAGAUCUAUGUGGAAAAAGUAAAGCAAUAAACAGCUGUCCAAUUCGAAUACUAUAGAUUACUGACCUUGAAAACUAAAACUUAACAUCUCAAACAGCCAUCUUGCCUUAGCUUAUGGAAUUUGAGAGGAGGUUGACUUAUCAGUGAAGAUAAGCAGUUAUUUAUUGAGUGCUCAAUACAAACAGCAUGCUCUUUCAUACACUGUGAGAGACAGAUCUGAGGAUGAAAACAGCAGUUGCUUCACCUUGUCCAGAGGAGACUCUUCAUGAAUAUAGUGGCACCAAAUUAGAGUGGCCGCAACUCAUUCUUCAAGAUCUUGACUCAAACUGGGCGAAAAAGAAAAGCCUUUUAGAUCGGAGGCCUCGGGUGCCGCCACCAGACCUGCGUCCCGGAAUCCCAGGCUGGUUUAGCCCAAAAGAAGCAGCCACCGUGUUAGCCGGAGGAAUGAAGUUUCCAAACUCUCUCAAAACAGAAAAUGAAGAAUAAACGGUGACUAACAAGUCGGAUCAGGACGAGCACAGCUGCACUGCGAGCCCUGUGAUCGUCUGGGAAAACACUUUCACCAUCGGGGCUUUUCCCCAAUACCACGUCUAAAUCCAUUGGUAAAGCUGUCAUGGGGAAAUAGCAGAUGCUCUGUGCAUGGCCCGAUGAUCUAGAUUAGACUGCUUCUCUUUGGAACCAUGAAAAGACUCACAUACUGCAACAUUUUGCCUGCAUUGUUCUAUAAAUGGGCAUCUCAGGUGGCACAGUGGGAAAGAAUCCGCCUACCAAUAAAGCAGACACAAGAGAUGCAGUUUCGACCCUUAGGUCGGGAAGAUCCCCUGGAAAAGGAAAUGGCAACCCACUCCAGUAUUCUUGCCCAGGAAAUCCCAUGGAUGGAGGAGCCUGGCGGGCUACAGUCCAUGGGAUCACAAAGAGUAGGACACGACUUAGCAACUGAACAGCAACAGCAAGAAUACCUGAACCCACACAUCCCUCCAUAUGUACAGAGAAAAUAUAUUACCUUCCAACUCCCUUAACAACUGUUUCAUCACUGUAUGUAGUGGGCACCUUCCUUAAUGAAAACCUCACUGUGUCAUGGGGGCCUUUAUAACUCGAACAGUGAUUGGGAAAAAAAAAAAUCUGUUUUAUGUCUGUUUCUCGAGUGAUCUCCGGUCAUUUUCAGAGAAGAUCAUCCGUACCCCAGCUGUCAACUGCCUGAAGCACAACUAGCUUUGAACAGUGACAUGUGCUCAUAUCCCACAGCUGUACCGGAGCAUCCUGAACAUUUUCUCAACCUCUCAGGCUUUUUUUUUUUUUUUUUUUACCUACCAGGCAGCUGCCUACUUGGAGAGGUCCCAGAAUCAGUUGUGCCAGAGUUAAAAAUCACCUCACACCCGCAUAUGUUUUUUUUUUUUUUCCCCCUCCUUUAUGAAUUGGGCUUUAAAUCUUGACCGUGAUUUAGUGAGAAAAUAAAAUUGGGCCAUAGUCAAUGUCUCAUUUGUAUACAUUCGUAUGAGUUCUGUAACCUGGAGGAUGUCUCCAAUCCAGGGAAAUGUAACCAUGAACCCACAGCUAAACAAUUUCCAAAGAGGCCUUUUCAAGGAAUGGCUUUUAAAUGCCCAAGGAGCUCAGUCCAACGGCAGAGAUAUUUGAAAUAUACACAAACAUACAAGCCUUUUAGAUAAACACAUUUUCAGGGGGCUUUUGAUGAAAGUGAUAAGUUACAUUCUCUACAACUACACACACUGUAUUUUAUUACCCUUCAGUAGACACUUAUCAGCUAUAAAUGUUGGGUGGUUUAGGCUAGAAAUCAGCCCUGAGGGGAACAGUGGGAGAACUGGGGGACUCCCAGUUCUACAGAUCAACGUACACCGGAGACUCAAUUUUAUUUUCAUUUAUUAAAAAGGUCUGUGGUCUCCUUCUGCAAUUUCAAAUCCAUUAGCUUCCUGCCCCCUGUAAGAAAAAAAAAAAGAGAAAGUAACUGCAGAUUUUAUGGACUGAUUGCUGAUGGCUGUGCUACUGCUCUGUUGGUUUUGAGUGGAGGGUCCAUUGUAGAUACAUUAUCCAUAAACCACGCUUCCAGUGGGACUCGUAGCGUCCAGUCUGACUGGGGAGUGAGCGGAGCUGGCUUGGUCAAAAGAGGCUGGGGGAAGGGUCAGGUCUCUUGGAAGCCAACACGGGCUAGGCACGGGCAUAAAUUACAGCCUUUCUUCCGACUUCCUCCUAAUUAUGCCUCAAACGUGCAGCGGUUGGAUUUCGUUAACCAGCCACCAGAUGAACUUAGAAAUCAUAUCGACAGUAGAUUAGAGUGGGAGUUUUCAACCUUUUUCCCUGCCAUGUAUGUUCAAGCGAUAUAUUUGUCUGUCUUUGACACUCUGCUUCUGGCCGCAUGUACUCAACAGCUGACCGUGCUCAUAUGGUUUUCCCUAGUCUCAGGUAUAUGGUGCUUAAACCUUUUUUCAACAAAGAUGCAAAAACAUUUUUAAUGGCAAUAAAACAUGAAAAUAUGGCUUCAUAUUUUCCCCUCUGUAACCCUACAUCUUGAAUUUCCAAAAAGAAAAGUUAAAUAUGUCUCCUGCAUCAUUGUUUAAUUUUCCCAUUCAGUAACGAUUUGUGAAAAGAAGCAAAAGAAUAAUUAGAACAAUACAGUUG
ensembl:lncRNA